rnacentral:rRNA from 1 species
ACGUAGGGUGCGAGCGUUAAUCGGAAUAACUGGGCGUAAAGCGUGCGCAGGCGGAUAUGUAAGUCAGAUGUGAAAUCCCCCGGCUCAAACUGGGAACUGCAUUAGUUACUGCAUAACUGGAGUACGGCAGAGGGGGAUGGAAUUCCGCGUGUAGCAGUGAAAUGCGUAGAUAUGCGGAGGAACACCGAUGGCGAAGGCAAUCCCCUGGGCCUGUACUGACGCUCAUGCACGAAAGCGUGGGGAGCAAACAG